CAUGUCCUUUUGAUUUUAAUUUAAGGUUUAAUCUGCUCAAUGAUUAUUUAAAUUGCCGCAGUAUUUUGACUGUGCAAAGGUAGCAUAAUAAUUAGUUUCUUAAUUAGGAACUGGGAUGAAUGAUUGGACGAAAAAAUUACUGUCUCUUUUUAAUUUAUUAUUGAAUUUUAUUUUUAAGUUAAAAAGCUUAAAUUUUUAUAAAAGACGAGAAGACCCUAUAGAGUUUAAUAUUUAAAUUAUAUUAAUUUUUAGUAAGUUAUUUAUUUGUUUAAGUAUUUAGUUGGGGUGACUUGAAGAUUAAAUUAAUUCUUUAAUAUAUGAGUUGUUGAUAAAUAAUUUGAAAAUCUAUAUUUUUAAGUUUAAUAUAAAUUACCUUAGGGAUAACAGCGUGAUUUUUCUUUAAAGUUCUUAUUGAAAGAAAAUUUUGCGACCUCGAUGUUGGAUUAAAAUUAAUUUUUGGGGCAGUUGCUUUAGGAUUAGGUCUGUUCGACCUUUGAAAUUUUACAUGAUCUGAGUUUAGACCGGUGUGAGCCAGGUUGGAUUCUAUCUUUAAUUUUAUAGUAUACUUUAGUACGAAAGGACCAAAUAUAUAUUAGAUAUUAAUUGUUAUUUUGGCAGAAUAGUGUAUUUGAUUUAGAAUCAUUUUAAGUAAAUAAUUAUUUACAUAUAAUAUUUGUAUUUAUUUGAUUAUAUUUUGAUUUUUGUUGUUAUGAUUUUGUUUAUUUUUUUUGUUUUAAUUGGUGUUGCAUUUUUUACUUUAUUAG
rnacentral:rRNA from 1 species